CUGAGAGCCGGCAGCAACACCCAACACACCCCAGGUUAGAAUACAAACUGUUCAUAGUGGUUUUUAUUACUUGUGCGUAGUAACAUGCAUAGAAUUGACAUUCGCCAGCCUAGAACUCUUGUAAAGUGAGUGUCAUGACUGAUGAGCUGGUUUGGCAUAAGCUCAAAGCAGAAACUGCAAAGCCAAUAACUUUGCAGCACGGGAAGGUGGGAAUAGAAGACAAAAAGUAACAGAAAAUAGAAUUAUGUACGGGAGAAUUGUAGACCAAAAAAAAAGAGGCCUAAAAGAAUAAAACUGGGGGAAGAUAUCUGAAAAGGCCACAAAUGAAGAGGUCUAGGGCAUAUUUUCAAAGCUGUAUACCACACCUGCGCUCAUUUUAGAUAAAAAGAAAACUUCUCCAGCUGAGCUUAAUAAGAAGAAGAAACCAAACAUAUUUCUUUCACUCUGGAGAAAUCACAAUACGACCUGUUUAUCCUCCAACAACUAUCGGCACUAGCAACGUAUAGACGCAGAACUGACACAGGUGAAACAUCGUUUCUCUAGGUUUUGUUAAAGCCUUGCGGUUGUUUUGGCAAAAGAACGCUCUGCUUCUCUGUUCCAACACAGUUCAUGGAAAGAUCACUUUCAAAGCAGAUUCUCAACGCUUUGUAGAGAUAAUUAGCUUACGAGCCUUAGUCCAUCAUUGCACUAAUUAGUUCUCAGCUGCAGGGAUUCAAUUGUUUGUCCUUGUGCAAAAUUUGGAUGGGGAAGAUGAGCUUACGUGCUAUUGUGGCUCUAGGUUGUAAGAGGCCCAAAGUAAAAAGAGCUGUUGGAACAUCCCCAAUUCUAGCACAAUCAAUGGGCUUUAGUUAUUCACAAACUUAAGAAUUGAUGAUCAGUAUGAUAUAAAUCAUAGAGAUGUAUCAUUAGGAGACGUGUGGUCACACACCCAUGGUCACUGCCCCUCUAAUACAAUUGGGCAUCGUACAUGGGGAACCAAAGCAGAUUCUUAUAUGAUAGCACCACCUACAGUAUGGAAGUGUUAUUUACACAUGGGUUACCAAACUGCUGCAAACUCACUCAGUACAAGAUUUCAUUUCUUUUGUUUGCAAAUCCUUAUAAUCACAGCUGCAGUUCAUCUUAAAUCAAGGGAGACUUCACAAGUUUAUCCUUGGAGCAUUGUAGUACACACUAUGGUAUUAAAUGGUAUUGUGCAAACAUGAUCUCGUUGUUAAGCUAUUGAGAUGAUAUUGAAGCGGCUGGAGGUUCUAUAAGAACACUGCUAGAACAGAGCCUUGUUUGGUUGAAGAUAGAGGUAAUAAAUGCAUUUCCUUAGUUCUGAAUUGUUGCUAAUUUAAAUCUAAAAAUAUUGUAAAAAAUAACCAAGCUGUGACUUAAUCCAGGAACUUUUCCAUUUUAGAAUCCAGAUUUUAACCUACCGGUAAAUUUUGCCUUCUCCUACACUUCAGAGUUUUGUGAUUUUAAAUAAAUAGCUGUGCUAUUUACUGUGUGC